GAUGAACGCUGGCGGCGUGCCUAACACAUGCAAGUCGAGCGAUUCUCUUCGGAGAAGAGCGGCGGACGGGUGAGUAACGCGUGGGUAACCUGCCCUGUACACACGGAUAACAUACCGAAAGGUAUGCUAAUACGGGAUAAUAUGAGAGAGUCGCAUGGCUUUCUUAUCAAAGCUCCGGCGGUACAGGAUGGACCCGCGUCUGAUUAGCUAGUUGGUGAGGUAAUGGCUUACCAAGGCGACGAUCAGUAGCCGACCUGAGAGGGUGAUCGGCCACAUUGGAACUGAGACACGGUCCAAACUCCUACGGGAGGCAGCAGUGGGGAAUAUUGCACAAUGGGCGAAAGCCUGAUGCAGCAACGCCGCGUGAGCGAUGAAGGCCUUCGGGUCGUAAAGCUCUGUCCUCAAGGAAGAUAAUGACGGUACUUGAGGAGGAAGCCCCGGCUAACUACGUGCCAGCCGCCGCGGUAAUAC
rnacentral:rRNA from 1 species